rnacentral:rRNA from 1 species
GACGAACGCUGGCGGCGUGCCUAAUACAUGCAAGUCGAGCGAACAGACGAGGAGCUUGCUCCUCUGACGUUAGCGGCGGACGGGUGAGUAACACGUGGAUAACCUACCUAUAAGACUGGGAUAACUUCGGGAAACCGGAGCUAAUACCGGAUAACAUGUUGAACCGCAUGGUUCAACAGUGAAAGACGGUCUUGCUGUCACUUAUAGAUGGAUCCGCGCCGCAUUAGCUAGUUGGUAAGGUAACGGCUUACCAAGGCAACGAUGCGUAGCCGACCUGAGAGGGUGAUCGGCCACACUGGAACUGAGACACGGUCCAGACUCCUACGGGAGGCAGCAGUAGGGAAUCUUCCGCAAUGGGCGAAAGCCUGACGGAGCAACGCCGCGUGAGUGAAGAAGGUCUUCGGAUCGUAAAACUCUGUUAUUAGGGAAGAACAAAUGUGUAAGUAACUAUGCACGUCUUGACGGUACCUAAUCAGAAAGUCACGGCUAACUACGUG